GGAUGGUCUUUUUCUUGUUACAAAUAAUCUUGACCUUGUUCGUGGCUACCCCUUAGCUGUUCUAACACCAAAUGUCAAUGAAUAUAAGCGUCUUGUUCAGAAAGUACUGAGUUGUGAAGUAAAUGAUGUAGAUGCUCCUCAACAACUGCUAUCUCUUGCCAAACAGAUUGGCGGUGUUACUAUCCUUAGGAAAGGAAAUUCUGAUCUUGUAAGUGAUGGUGACACAGGUAGUUCUUUCACAAAUAUAAGUCUUAUUUUGUUCUUUAUUUUGGAGGAGGGGGAUCAAAGAUUUUCCUUGAAUAACAGUAUUCUGCAAGGGCAACAAAGAAGUCUUUCAUUUUAGAUUAGUCUGUUUUGGUGCA